GGAUGCGAUCAUACCAGCACUAAUGCACCGGAUCCCAUCAGAACUCCGAAGUUAAGCGUGCUUGGGCGAGAUAGUACUAGGAUGGUGACCCCCUGGGAAGUCCUCGUGUUGCAUCCC
rnacentral:rRNA from 1 species